UGCUGCCUUUGGGUAUGACUCAUUGCAGCGCGCGCCGCUCGGGCUUUGUUUUGCUCUCCAUCUCUUCUCAGCCCUCCGAAGCCUCUUCUCUCCUGUUUCCUUAUCUGGGUGCUUUAUGGCUCCGGGCCUGUUCUUCAUCUCCCUGCCACCUUAUCUUUAUGGUUCUGCUGUUCUUCCUCUCCUUGCAGCUCUGGCAUCCGAACUCAACCGCGGCGAUGCUCUGCAGGGCUGCAGCUUUAACCCCUCCCGCUCUGCUCCCAGUGGGGCAACCAAACCUGGGGGGCACCGCGGCCCCAAACUGGGGGCAGGGUGACGUCGCCCCGUUCUCUCCGCUUCUGCUGGAGGUCUGAGGGCGCUCAGGUGGAUCCUGACGGGCCACGCUCCGCUGCCUCCAUCCCUGCAAGACGUGAGGAUGGAGCUGAUGGCUGCGGGUGGGGAUGCCGCCCUGCAGCUGUCUGAAACACGAAGCAAAUCCCUUCCUCCCCAUUGCACAACUCACUCCUGGACAGGGGGCAGAAAGGAGCCUGGGCUCAUCCUGGGGCUGCGGUCACCGCCUGAGCUCCGUGGGGACGAUGAAGCCGUACGCAGUGCUGCUGCUGGCGGGGCUGGCCUGCUGCCUGGCUGCGGGCUUGCCCGUCAAUGAGACGCCGGCCGUGGGGCAAGACGCGAAGGUGAGCGGCAGAGCUGCCGAAGGAGCGCUGGUGGAUUUGGCUGACGUGGUGGAGAGCCUCCUGCGCUCCCUGGGGGACACCCUGGCCGGGGCAGUCCGACUGCUGAUAGGGGGAAAAGAGAAAUAGCUGGCGUGGUGAGCGCCGAACUGCCCUGCUGGGGACGUGGGGACAUCAUGGGGACGUGGGG
ensembl:lncRNA